rnacentral:rRNA from 1 species
CCUACGGGAGGCAGCAGUGGGGAAUAUUGGGCAAUGGGCGCAAGCCUGACCCAGCAAUGCCGCGUGAAGGAAGAAGGCUUUCGGGUUGUAAACGUCUUUGACAGGGGAAGAGCAGAAGACGGUACCCGGAAAACAAGCCACGGCUAACGACGUGCCAGCAGCCGCGGUAAUACGUAGGUGGCAAGCGGUGUCCGGAUUUACUGGGUGUAAAGGGCGUGUAGCCGGGAAGGCAAGUCAGAUGUGAAAUCUGGAGGCUCAACCUCCCAAUUGCAUUUGAAACUGUUUUUCUUGAGUACUGGAGAGGCCGCCGGCAUUCCUUUUGUAGCGGUGCACUGCGUAGAUAUUAGGAGGAACCCCAGUGGCGACUGCGGUCUGCUGGACAGCAACUGCCGGUGUGGCGCG